rnacentral:tRNA from 1 species
GCGGGUAUAGUUCAGCGGUAGAACGCAAGCUUCCCAAGCUUGAUGCCGCCGGUUCGAAUCCGGUUACCCGCU